rnacentral:rRNA from 1 species
CCUACGGGAGGCAGCAGUGAGGAAUAUUGGUCAAUGGCCGAGAGGCUGAACCAGCCAAGUCGCGUGAGGGAAGACGGCCCUACGGGCUGUAAACCUCUUUUGUCGGGGAGCAAAGCGAACCACGUGUGGUUCAUUGAGAGUACCCGAAGAAAAAGCAUCGGCUAAGUCCGUGCCAGCAGCCGCGGUAAUACGGAGGAUGCGAGCGUUAUCCGGAUUUCAUGGGUUAAACGGGUGAGCAGGCGGAGGUGCAAGUCAGCGGUAAAAUUGCGGGGCUAAACACCGUACUGCCGUUGAAACUGCAUCGCUUGAGUGCGAGAGAGGUAUGCGGAAUGCGUGGUGUAGCGGUGAAAUGCAUAGAUAUCACGAAGAACUCCGAGUGCGAAGGCAGCAUACCGGCGCGCAACUGACGCUCAUGCACGAAAGCGUGGGUAUCGAACAGGAUUAGAUACCCGGGUAGUC